rnacentral:rRNA from 1 species
CGUACACUCCUACGGGAGGCAGCAGUGGGGAAUAUUGCACAAUGGGCGCAAGCCUGAUGCAGCCAUGCCGCGUGUAUGAAGAAGGCCUUCGGGUUGUAAAGUACUUUCAGCGGGGAGGAAGGCGAUAAGGUUAAUAACCUUGUUGAUUGACGUUACCCGCAGAAGAAGCACCGGCUAACUCCGUGCCAGCAGCCGCGGUAAUACGGAGGGUGCAAGCGUUAAUCGGAAUUACUGGGCGUAAAGCGCACGCAGGCGGUCUGUCAAGUCGGAUGUGAAAUCCCCGGGCUCAACCUGGGAACUGCAUUCGAAACUGGCAGGCUAGAGUCUUGUAGAGGGGGGUAGAAUUCCAGGUGUAGCGGUGAAAUGCGUAGAGAUCUGGAGGAAUACCGGUGGCGAAGGCGGCCCCCUGGACAAAGACUGACGCUCAGGUGCGAAAGCGUGGGGAGCAAACAGGAUUAGAUACCCCGGUAGUCCCAUGA